UACGGGGGGGGGCAAGCGUUGUUCGGAAUUACUGGGCGUAAAGGGCUCGUAGGCGGCCAACUAAGUCAGACGUGAAAUCCCUCGGCUUAACCGGGGAACUGCGUCUGAUACUGGAUGGCUUGAGUUCGGGAGAGGGAUGCGGAAUUCCAGGUGUAGCGGUGAAAUGCGUAGAUAUCUGGAGGAACACCGGUGGCGAAGGCGGCGAUCCUGGACCGACACUGACGCUGAGGAGCGAAAGCCAGGGGAGCAAACGGGG
rnacentral:rRNA from 1 species